rnacentral:lncRNA from 10 species
CCGGCGGCGCGUUCCUGGCAGCGGCCCCUCCCCGCCGCGCGCUCCGCCCCCAACUUCUCAUUCACACUUUCCCCCCACCCCCCUCCCUUCUAAGAAGGCUGAUUUCUGGCAGAGGCGGGGGCGCCGCUUCGGGAGAGCGGGCAGUUCUAGGAGGCCGACCUGGAGAGCCUCCCGGUUCCCCUUCCCCUUUUCCCGGACCCCGCGGGGACACCCCCUCGCCGCCACCCGGGCCUCCCCGAGGGCCCAACUGCGGGUCAGGCGGCCCGGGCCAGCCGAAAGGGAAGUGGGGCUACCCCACAGCCAGGCAGCGGGGCUGGGGUCAGACCCGGGAGCCGGAGGUUGGAGACGUGCGACAGUCACCUGCGGGCAGAUUCCAGAGGGGAGACCCAGGGCUGCAGGGGACGCCCCUUCGUGGCAGCUACCCAGCCUCGGCCCACUGCCAGUGUUACGUGGCUGCAUGACCAUACACUUCUGGGUAGAGCCCAGUGGAAGACAAAGAAGACUCAAGGAAUAGCCCUUGAGGGCUCAGGAGCUAUACAGAUGGGAUAGAGGGUGUGAGUGCUGGGAAGCCCCAUCCAUGGCUCGCUGGAGAUUAGAGGCCUGUUAAUCUGAAGACAAAGGAAUGAAGACGAAAACGUUUCUGAAAAUGUGGGUGGAGACACCUGGGCCUUUACAGGGUACGCUCCAGAGCUGCUUCCAGGCAGGGACCCCGGCUGAGAGAAGCCAGAGCCAGAGAGUCGCAGGCUUGCUUGCUCUUAUCUUCCCUCUGCUGGGGGGGUCGAGGGGAGAUCUGGCCCCUCUGCUCUGCCCUCCUGAUUUCCCGUCUAAGGGAUUUAGGAGACUUUUGCCUUUUCCUAAUCUCUCCCUUUGCAGAAUUUCUGCGAAGUCACAAUCCCAUUUCCAGGCAAAGGUGCUUGGUCAUAAAGAUAAUAAAGAUAUUCAUUCAUGAUGGAGGGGAAGUACACAGUGGUUUCAGCUGCCUGUAGGGCUCCACUUACUCAUGGUGUGUGACAGAUGCUGAGCCCUUCCCCAAAUCUCAUGGAUGGGAAGGAAACCUGGCGCCGCGGGGUGGUCGCGGGAAGCCGUGGCAUGGCUUGGUGAACACAGGCUCGCCGACCCGGGGGCGGAUGCUGAGGUUGCCAUUGUUGGUGGCUGCAUCUGCAGUAGACGGGUCGGGAUGCCGGCCUCAGACCACAGCGUUGCUAAAUGCCAAACCCAAGGCCUCCCCGUCUUUAACACUGCUGGGCAUUCUACAGCGCAAGGAGGCAGCUGGGGCUGGACUGCCCAGUGCCUGCCGUUGACUGUGCGUCUUCUGCCUGUGAGCUAGCCUGCCACACCUGGGGAUACACGGUGGGGAAAUCAAUCAGCUUCCCUCCCUUCUAGAGCUUCAGGUCCGGCGUUGGUGUCUAGAGGCAAGGGGAGGAGGCAGGGAGGCCUCUUCUUUUCUGUCCCCCUUUCUCUUGGCCAAUUUGGAGGAGAUGGUGGGGGACCUGUCUCUCAUCUGACCUCCUGGAAGCCCUGCCUGCUGCUCCAGUGUGGCUCUCCCAGGGCUGAGGCCUGGAACCUAGGGCUGGGCUACCUGGGGUGCUCAGCUCUGCCGCACCCCAGCCCUCCUCGGCUGCAGCCCUGGCUUCUUUUCUUACCCACUGGGAUGGCCCGUGGGACUAACCUUGCAGCCUGCAGGACUAUGGCCCAGAUGACCUUUCCGGAGCAGGGGAAGAGUUCACAGGUCUCAGACCAGGUUGACCCCGAGCCCUCUCUUUCCUGCUUCGCAUAGGGGCGGGCCAAGGGAGGCAGGGACAAUGGCAUUCCUGUUUGCAGGCCUUUGUUCCCGCCAGGAGGGCCCCCGGAGCUAAUAAAAAGGUUUGUGGCUCCGAUGUCUAAGAGGCAGUGGAGGAGUUCUUUCAAGCCUGACAUUCCAGGCCCAGCCGGCCUCUGGCAUUUCCCAGAAAAACUUCGAGGAGGGGAGGGGAAAGAAAACACUUGAGGGACCCACCCACCUACCCACUGCCCGCCUUCUCGGAUUCCUCGUUCCCUCUGGGGAUUGGGCUGGGCCGGAGUGCCAGGACCCCUGCCCUGGGGGGCCCAUUCCUCCACCCACAGAGGGGCCCUGGGAAGUGUUGAGAGGGUGAGAGUGGAUCCUGAACCAACUUUGAAGGCAGAGAAGUGGGCUAGAAGAAGUGGGGUUGGAGCCUCCACCAAGGACAAGAAGACUCUGCAUUCAUGGAUCAGCUGACACCACCCAGACCGGUUAUCUGGCUCAACCAGUUCUGCCAUCCCACCCAGGAAUAGAAGAUAGCAAGAAAAAUUCACUUCAACCUUCUACGAUUCCAUCUCCAACCUGACCAAUCAGCACUCCCCACUUCCCAAGCUCCUUUACUAGCCAAAUUCUCUUUAAAAACUCUGAUCCCCGAAUGCUUGGGGAGACUGAUUUGAGUAAUAAUAAAACUCUGGUCUCCCGCACAGUGGGCUCUGCGUGAAUCACUCUUUCUCCAUUGCAAUGCCUCUGUCUUGAUAAAUCAGUUCUGUCUGGGCAGCAGGCAAGGUGAACCCAUUGGGCA